rnacentral:tRNA from 1 species
CGGGGUGUGGCGCAGUUGGCUAGCGCGCCAGUAUGGGGUACUGGAGGUCCCCGGUUCGAGUCCGGGCACCCCGACCA